UACGUAGGAUGCAAGCGUUGUCCGGAAUUAUUGGGCGUAAAGAGCGCGCAGGCGGUUUGAUAAGUCAGAUGUGAAAGAGGCCGGCUUAACCGGCAAGGGUCAUUUGAAACUGACAGACUAGAGUACAGCAGAGGAUAGCGGAAUUCCCGGUGUAGUGGUGAAAUGCGUAGAUAUCGGGAGGAACACCAGUGGCGAAGGCGGCUAUCUGGGCUGAAACUGACGCUGAGGCGCGAAGGCUAGGGUAGCAAACAGG
rnacentral:rRNA from 1 species